GAGAGAGAGAGAGAGAGAAGGAAGAACAAGAGGGAAAAUAAUAACUCUCCUCCCGUGCCUUAAGCUCAUCACACGUCUUUUCAAGUUGGGGGUCUGCACAUUGUGCCUCAAGCAUGCCUUUGAUAACAAUGUGAGUAGGUUUAAAUUAGUUUGGAUUAUUGUUGGCAUGGUGAUUUGAGUUUCUUUCAUAAGCAAUUCCCUGUCUACUUUUAAAAAAAUGAUUAUUUUGAUUGAGAGUUUUUUUGAUGUUAGGUAAGGGCUUGAAUUUUAUUUUUUGGAGUUUGGACCUAUUCAAGCUGUUAAUUUGUCUUGUUUGUUCUUUCUGCAUGUAGUUGAUUUGGUUGGCGACAUGGUUUUAUAUAACGGCUAUUAUAUAACGUAACGAUCGUUAUUUACAGGUUUUUAGAGGGACAGAUACCUGUUAGGCCGUUAUUUAAAGGCAUAUCUUGAUU
rnacentral:misc_RNA from 1 species